rnacentral:lncRNA from 1 species
CCAAUUUCCUUAGCUUAGGCAUACAAAGCCACUUUCAUCAGUUUAGGCAUUCAGAACCACUUUACUCAAUUUAGGCUUUCAAAGCCGUUUUGCUCAAUUCUACCUUAUUCAGUUAGGCAUUCAGAGCCACAUUUUUCAGUUUAGGUGUUCAAAGCCAAUUUGCUUAGCUCCACCUUACUUAGUUUAGGUGAUCAGAGCCAUCUUGCUCAUUUCUUUCAAUUCAAG